rnacentral:misc_RNA from 1 species
AAUACCCUGCUACAAGGAAUGAAGAUUGGUGUGAACAAGAAAACAGGUCUGGAAAGGUUCCUUACUUCUUGGAGAUCAGCACAUGAUCCAGGAACCGGAGACUAUUCGUUUAGGCUCAACCCGAGUGGCUCACCAGAGUUUUAUCUGUACAAGGGUGCCAAACAUUAUUGGCGAACCAACCCAUGGCCUUGGAGAGAAUAUGCAGAAGCCUUCAAUUACAGUUUUGUUAACAAUCUAGAAGAGAUAUAUUUCGCCUUCUCUAUUGACUACUCUUCCGUUAUCCUAAUAGCAAUA